GACGAACGCUGGCGGCGUGCUUAACACAUGCAAGUCGAACGGAAAGGCCCUGCUUUUGUUGCUCUCUCGUGAGCCGCGGACGUGUGAAUCACGCGUGUAUCACCCACCUCUCCUACGGAUAACUCUUGGACAAAGCGGAUCACAUACGAUAGGAGAUCUUGAAGCACAUGGUUCGAUGGUAAGUUUCGGCGGUGGGGGAUCGACUCGCGGUCUACCAGCUUGUUGGUGGGGUAGUGGCGUACAAAGGUUUUGACGGGUAGCCGGCCUGAGAGGGCGACCGGCCACAUUGGGACUGAGAGACGGCCCAGACUCCUACGGGAGGCAGCAGGGGGGAAUAUGGCACAAUGGGCGGAAGCCUGAUGCGGCAACGCCGCGUGCGGGAUGACGGCCUUCGGGUUGUAAACCGCUUUCGCCGGUAACAAGGCGUGAGUGACGGUAAUGAGUAAAGAAGCACCGGCUAACUACGUG
rnacentral:rRNA from 1 species